CUGACGAACCAUGAUGUCAUUUAUUUGGUGUUGUGGGGAAUCAGGACUGUUACUUUGAAAAAAUUAGAGUAGUUUAAAGCAGGCUCACGCUUGAAUACAUUAGCAUGGAAUAAUGAAAUAGGACGUUUGAUUCUAUUUUGUUGGUUUCUAGGAUCGACGUAAUGAUUAAUAGGGAUAGUUGGGGGCAUUAGUAUUCAAUUGUCAGAGGUGAAAUUCUUGGAUUUAUUGAAGACUAACUACUGCGAAAGCAUUUGCCAAGGAUGUUUUCAUUAAUCAAGAACGAAAGUUAGGGGAUCGAAGACGAUCAGAUACCGUCGUAGUCUUAACCAUAAACUAUGCCGACUAGGGAUCGGAUGAUGUUAAUUUUUUUAAUGACUCAUUCGGCGCCUUACG
rnacentral:rRNA from 1 species